rnacentral:rRNA from 1 species
UACAGAGGGGGCAAGCGUUAUUCGGAAUUAUUGGGCGUAAAGGGCGCGUAGGCGGCCUGACAAGUGGAAGGUGAAAUCCCUCGGCUUAACCGAGGAACUGCCCUCCAAACUGUUUGGCUUGAGACCGGGAGAGGUGAGUGGAAUUCCCAGUGUAGCGGUGAAACGCGUAGAUAUUGGGAGGAACACCAGUGGCGAAGGCGGCUCACUGGACCGGUACUGACGCUGAGGCGCGAAAGCGUGGGGAGCAAACGGG